rnacentral:rRNA from 1 species
AGAGUUUGAUCCUGGCUCAGGACGAACGCUGGCGGCGCGCCUAACACAUGCAAGUCGAACGAGCGAGAGAGAGCUUGCUUUCUCGAGCGAGUGGCGAACGGGUGAGUAACGCGUGAGGAACCUGCCUCAAAGAGGGGGACAACAGUUGGAAACGACUGCUAAUACCGCAUAAGCCCACAGCUCGGCAUCGAGCAGAGGGAAAAGGAGCAAUCCGCUUUGAGAUGGCCUCGCGUCCGAUUAGCUAGUUGGUGAGGUAAUGGCCCACCAAGGCGACGAUCGGUAGCCGGACUGAGAGGUUGAACGGCCACAUUGGGACUGAGACACGGCCCAGACUCCUACGGGAGGCAGCAGUGGGGAAUAUUGCACAAUGGGGGAAACCCUGAUGCAGCGACGCCGCGUGGAGGAAGAAGGUCUUCGGAUUGUAAACUCCUGUUGUUGAGGAAGAUAAUGACGGUACUCAACAAGGAAGUGACGGCUAACUACGUGCCAGCAGCCGCGGUAAAACGUAGGUCACAAGCGUUGUCCGGAAUUACUGGGUGUAAAGGGAGCGCAGGCGGGAAGACAAGUUGGAAGUGAAAUCUAUGGGCUCAACCCAUAAACUGCUUUCAAAACUGUUUUUCUUGAGUAGUGCAGAGGUAGGCGGAAUUCCCGGUGUAGCGGUGGAAUGCGUAGAUAUCGGGAGGAACACCAGUGGCGAAGGCGGCCUACUGGGCACCAACUGACGCUGAGGCUCGAAAGUGUGGGGAGCAAACAGGAUUAGAUACCCUGGUAGUCCACACCGUAAACGAUGAUUACUAGGUGUUGGAGGAUUGACCCCUUCAGUGCCGCAGUUAACACAAUAAGUAAUCCACCUGGGGAGUACGACCGCAAGGUUGAAACUCAAAGGAAU